rnacentral:rRNA from 1 species
GUUAAGUCAGAUGUGAAAGACCCGGGGCGUUAACCUCGGAAUUGCAUUUGAAACUGGCAGGCUAGAGUCUUGUAGAGGGGGUAGGGAGUUUCAGGUGUAGCGGUGAAAUAGCGUAGAGAUCUGAAGGAAUACCAGUGGCGAAGGCGGCCCCCUCGGACAAAGACUGACGCUCAGAUGCGAAAGCGUGGGGAGCAAACAGGAUUAGAUACCCUGGUAG